rnacentral:tRNA from 1 species
GCCCAGGUCGCAUAGUCUGGUAUUGCGCAGACACAAAAUCGGGAUCAUGGGUUCAAAUCCCAUCCUGGGCGCCA